AACGAACGCUGGCGGCAUGCCUAACACAUGCAAGUCGAACGAGACCUUCGGGUCUAGUGGCGCACGGGUGCGUAACGCGUGGGAACCUGCCCUUAGGUUCGGAAUAACUCCCCGAAAGGGGUGCUAAUACCGGAUAAUGUCUUCGGACCAAAGAUUUAUCGCCUUUGGAUGGGCCCGCGUUGGAUUAGCUAGUUGGUAGGGUAAAAGCCUACCAAGGCGACGAUCCAUAGCUGGUCUGAGAGGAUGAUCAGCCACACUGGGACUGAGACACGGCCCAGACUCCUACGGAAGGCAGCAGUGGGGAAUAUUAGACAAUGGGCGAAAGCCUGAUCCAGCAAUGCCGUGUGAGUGAUGAAGGCCUUAGGGUUGUAAAGCUCUUUUACCCGGGAUGAUAAUGACAGUACCGGGAGAAUAAGCACCGGCUAACUCCGUG
rnacentral:rRNA from 1 species